ACACCAGUGGCGAAGGCGGCCUGCUGGACAUUAACUGACGGUGAGGCGCGAAAGCGUGGGGAGCAAACAGGAUUAGAUACCCUGGUAGUCCACGCUGUAAACGAUGGAUACUAGGUGUGGGGGGUCUGACCCCCUCCGUGCCGCAGCUAACGCAAUAAGUAUCCCACCUGGGGAGUACGAUCGCAAGGUUGAAACUCAAAGGAAUUGACGGGGGCCCGCACAAGCGGUGGAGUAUGUGGUUUAAUUCGAAGCAACGCGAAGAACCUUACCAGGGCUUGACAUCCCGCUGACCGGUGUAGAGAUACACUUUUCCCUUCGGGGACAGCGGUGACAGGUGGUGCAUGGUUGUCGUCAGCUCGUGUCGUGAGAUGUUGGGUUAAGUCCCGCAACGAGCGCAACCCUUAUUGUUAGUUGCUACGCAAGAGCACUCUAACGAGACUGCCGUUGACAAAACGGAGGAAGGUGGGGACGACGUCAAAUCAUCAUGCCCCUUAUGUCCUGGGCCACACACGUACUACAAUGGCGGUCAACAAAGAGAGGCAAAACCGCGAGGUGGAGCAAAUCUCAAAAAGCCGUCCCAGUUCGGAUUGCAGGCUGCAACCCGCCUGCAUGAAGUUGGAAUCGCUAGUAAUCG
rnacentral:rRNA from 1 species